rnacentral:rRNA from 1 species
UGGGGGAUAUUGCACAAUGGAGGAAACUCUGAUGCAGCAACGCCGCGUGAGGGAAGAAGGUUUUCGGAUUGUAAACCUCUGUUUUUAGUGAAGAAACAAAUGACGGUAGCUAAAGAGGAAGCCACGGCUAACUACGUGCCAGCAGCCGCGGUAAUACGUAGGUGGCAAGCGUUGUCCGGAAUUACUGGGUGUAAAGGGUGCGCAGGCGGGACUGCAAGUUGGAUGUGAAAUACCGGGGCUUAACCCCGGGGCUGCAUCCAAAACUGUGGUUCUUGAGUGGAGUAGAGGUAAGCGGAAUUCCGAGUGUAGCGGUGAAAUGCGUAGAUAUUCGGAGGAACACCAGUGGCGAAGGCGGCUUACUGGACGGUAACUGAUGUUGAGGCUCGAAAGCGUGGGGAGCAAGCAGGAUUAGAUACC